AAAGUCGUAACAAGGUUUCCGUAGGUGAACCUGCGGAAGGAUCAUUGCAAAUCACGGGGGGGCACAGGGGGGAUGAUGGAUGUUGUCGUCCAUUGUGUCCGCCGUGCCCCUAACAUUUGGUCGGGAUGCGAGUCCCGGAUCAUAUUCACGCUUGUGCAGUUUGACAGAGUACAUGUGGUGGUAAUUUUGACAACUUUUAACAAUGGAUCUCUUGGCUCUU
rnacentral:misc_RNA from 1 species